AGUGAACGCUGGCGGUAGGCCUAACACAUGCAAGUCGAACGGCAGCACAGUAAGAGUUUGCUCUUACCGGUGGCGAGUGGCGGACGGGUGAGGAAUACAUCGGCAUCUACUUUUUCGUGGGGGAUAACGUAGGGAAACUUCCGCUAAUACCGCAUACGAUCUACGGGUGAAAGCAGGGGAUCUUCGGACCUUGCGCGAUUGAAUGAGCCGAUUCCGGAUUAGCUAGUUGGCGGGGUAAAGGCCCACCAAGGCGACGAUCCGUAGCUGGUCUGAGAGGAUGAUCAGCCACACUGGAACUGAGACACGGUCCAGACUCCUACGGGAGGCAGCAGUAGGGAAUAUUGGACAAUGGGCGCAAGCCUGAUCCAGCCAUACCGCGUGAGUGAAGAAGGCCUUCGGGUUGUAAAGCCCUUUUGUUGGGAAAGAAAAGCAGCAGGUUAAUACCCCGCUGUUCUGACGGUACCCAAAGAAUAAGCACCGGCUAACUUCGUG
rnacentral:rRNA from 1 species